AUGUCCCUAGGCUUUGUGGUCAUUCUUUAUUCACUUUAUUUAAUGUCCGUGGCAGGGCAGAAAUUGGACCAGGAGAUAUCAUGGACUAGGACACAGGGACAGGCUGUCUCCUUCAGCUGCAAAGAUACUUACCAGUGUACAACGUUUGUCUACUGGUACCAGAAGAAGGAGGGAGAACCUUUUACCUUGAUUCUUGACAUCCAAAAGGAUAACUGCGCUGUCGAUGCAAGUUACAACCAUCCUCAAAAAGAUGACUUCUCAGCAACAAGUAUGAAUAACAACUGUGAUCUAAAAAUCCAGUCUGUUAAAGUCUCCCAUUCUGCCACCUACUACUGUGCCUGCUGGAACCCACAGUGACAACACAUCCAUUCACCCUGUACAAAAACUCUGGUUUUAGUCAAGCUGUGAAUUUAUAAAAAUUAAAAAACAUAAUCAGAGGAACAUUUUUAGAUGUCUCUCCCAGCUGGUGUUUCAUCUCUCAUCUUCAUAAUCGACUAUAUGAUGAAAACCAUACUUCAGUAAAGAUCUGUG
rnacentral:lncRNA from 1 species